rnacentral:rRNA from 1 species
GACGAACGCUGGCGGCGUGCUUAACACAUGCAAGUCGAACGGAAAGGCCCUGCUUUUGUGGGGUGCUCGAGUGGCGAACGGGUGAGUAACACGUGAGUAACCUACCCUUGACUUUGGGAUAACUUCAGGAAGCUGGGGCUAAUACCGGAUAGGAGCUCCUGCUGCAUGGUGGGGGUUGGAAAGUUUCGGCGGUUGGGGAUGGACUCGCGGCUUAUCAGCUUGUUGGUGGGGUAGUGGCUUACCAAGGCUUUGACGGGUAGCCGGCCUGAGAGGGUGACCGGCCACCUUGGGACUGAGAUACGGCCCAGACUCCUACGGGAGGCAGCAGUGGGGAAUAUUGCACAAUGGGCGGAAGCCUGAUGCAGCAACGCCGCGUGCGGGAUGACGGCCUUCGGGUUGUAAACCGCUUUCGCCUGUGACGAAGCGUGAGUGACGGUAAUGGGUAAAGAAGCACCGGCUAACUACGUG